rnacentral:rRNA from 1 species
UUCCUGCUCAAUGAAAGUUAAAUAGCCGCAGUACACUGACUGUGCAAAGGUAGCAUAAUCAAUUGGCCUAUAAUUGAGGUCUGGAAUGAACGGAUUUUUGGGAAAUUACUGUCUCUUUGUAAAAAUCGAAUUUAAUUAUUAAGUGUAAAUACUUAUAAAUAUAUAAUAGACGAGAAGACCCUAGAAAUUUUUUAUAAAAAAUAUUAUUUUUACUAUUUUGUUGGGGCGACAGAAUUGCAAUUAACCUAUUUAAUUUAUUAGAAGUUUAUCAGAAUAAUUAAUUACUCUAGGGAUAACAGCAUUAUUAUUUUAUAGAUUGUGACCUCGAUGUUGGACUAGGGACUUUAGUGUUCAGAAGACAUAUAUGUAGCUCUGUUCGAGCUUUAUACCCU